AUGCGGGCUCCCCGACGGCGGGCUCGGGGGCUCGGGGCUCGCCUGGGCCCGGCCCCACGGUCCCUCCUCAAAGCAGCGCCCGCCCCCCGCCGCGCAGUACGCCUCGGAUCUUCGCUGACCUCGCCGAGGGGGCUCCGCGCGGGGCCGCGGCCCCGUAGGCCCGAACGCCUUUGUCCUCGUUCCGCAUCUACCUCAGUUUCCCCGGUCAACAGGGGGCACGGGCACGUGGUGAGCGCUCUCCUUGCCUCCGUGAGCAGAUGCAGCUCACGUCUGGGCAUUUUUAUUUCUGUAGCGUCAUCUUGGAGACUCUUCGCUCGUGAGUCUUCCUCAGUGGGAAUCCUUCAGUUGGGUCUCACGGGCGGGGGAGGGGGGCGAGUGGCAGCGGCGGAAGUCACCUCCUGCCUGGGAGCCACCGCUGGGAGCUGGAGGACUAAGAGCAAGUACCCGAGAGGGCGGAGUGGGACUUCCGCUGGAGGCUGGCGCCCUGCACCUCGCGGCCUCGCGUCGGGAGAACGUUCGCGGGAACAGCUUCCAGCCUGGAGGGUGGCGGUUUCCGCAGCCCGAGCCCUCACACUGGGGUCCCCGUCCCAACACAUUUUUUUGGGUGGUGAGUGCUUUCUUGCGUGCACUUGUCUUCAACAGGAUAUAUUUAAUUUAUACUCAAAACACAUUUUGUACGUUUUUCUCUUUAUCCAGAUGCUUCUAGUUUUAUAUUCUUUUCAUUUCUAUGCCAGUGCUACCUACCUUUCUAGUUUAUUCUUCCUUUUUGACCCUUGGUAUGGCUCUAUUUUGUCUAUUUUCAACUUUUGUUUUGAAAUAAAACGUAAAAGUCGACCUCCUGGUGCUUUAUCCGUGGGCGGAAGUUGGGAGGUUGGGGAAGGGCCCGCAUUUGCUGCUAUGGGAACGGCGGCGGCGGCGGCGGCGCACAGGGCCCAGACUCGGCAGUCUGGGUGGCACCUGGCUGCGAGGGUCGGAGGGGCCUCGUGGGCGCCUCGUGGGCGCCCUCCUGCCUGA
rnacentral:lncRNA from 1 species